UACAGAGGUCUCAAGCGUUGUUCGGAUUCAUUGGGCGUAAAGGGUGCGUAGGCGGCGCGGUAAGUCGGGUGUGAAAUCUUGGAGCUUAACUCCGAAACUGCAUUCGAUACUGCCGUGCUUGAGGACUGGAGAGGAGACUGGAAUUUACGGUGUAGCGGUGAAAUGCGUAGAUAUUCGGAAGAACACCAGUGGCGAAGGCGGCUCACUGGACUGGUAUUGACGCUGAGGUGCGAAAGCGUGGGGAGCAAACGGG
rnacentral:rRNA from 1 species